GAUGAACGCUGGCGGCGUGCCUAAUACAUGCAAGUCGAGCGAACGGAUGAGAAGCUUGCUUCUCUGAUGUUAGCGGCGGACGGGUGAGUAAAACGUGGAUAACCUACCUAUAAGACUGGGAUAACUUCGGGAAACCGGAGCUAAAACGGGAUAAUAUUUUAAACCGCAUGGUUAAAAAGUAAAAAACGGUCUUGCUGUCACUUAUAGAUGGAUCCGCGCUGCAUUAGCUAGUUGGUAAGGUAACGGCUUACCAAGGCAACGAUGCAUAGCCGACCUGAGAGGGUGAUCGGCCACACUGGAACUGAGACACGGUCCAGACUCCUACGGGAGGCAGCAGUAGGGAAUCUUCCGCAAUGGGCGAAAGCCUGACGGAGCAACGCCGCGUGAGUGAUGAAGGUCUUCGGAUCGUAAAACUCUGUUAUUAGGGAAGAACAUAUGUGUAAGUAACUGUGCACAUCUUGACGGUACCUAAUCAGAAAGCCACGGCUAACUACGUG
rnacentral:rRNA from 1 species